rnacentral:misc_RNA from 1 species
GAUGAAGAACGCAGCGAAAUGCGAUAAGUAAUGUGAAUUGCAGAAUUCAGUGAAUCAUCGAAUCUUUGAACGCACAUUGCGCCCGCCAGUAUUCUGGCGGGCAUGCCCGUCCGAGCGUCAUUUCAACCCUCGAACCCCUCCGGGGGGUCGGCGUUGGGGAUCGGCCCUUUACGGGGCCGGCCCCGAAAUACAGUGGCGGUCUCGCCGCAGCCUCUCCUGCGCAGUAGUUUGCACACUCGCAUCGGGAGCGCGGCGCGUCCACAGCCGUUAAACACCCCAAACUUCUGAAAUGUUGACCUCGGAUCAGGUAGGAAUACCCGCUGAACUUAAGCAUAUCAAUAAGCGGAGGA